UGUGUAGGCGGCUCCUUAAGUUUGGUGUGAAAUCUCCCGGCUCAACCGGGAGGGUGCGCCGAAUACUGAGGGGCUAGAGUGCGGGAGAGGAAAGUGGAAUUCCUGGUGUAGCGGUGAAAUGCGUAGAUAUCAGGAGGAACACCGGUGGUGUAGACGGCUUUCUGGACCGUAACUGACGCUGAGACACGAAAGCGUGGGUAGCAAACAGGAUUAGAUACCCUGGUAGUCCACGCCCUAAACGAUGCAUAUUUGGUGUGGGUCAUUCAGUUGAUCCGUGCCGGAGCUAACGCGUUAAAUAUGCCGCCUGGGGAGUACAGUCGCAAGGCUGAA
rnacentral:rRNA from 1 species